AAUUAUAUUAAAUUAAAGUUCAUAUAUAUAUAUAUAUAUUAUGUUGUGAAAAUAUUACCUUUUGCACCUAAUAUAUAUCAACAAUUAGAUAUGAUAGUAAAAUUUCCCAAAAUCUUAAAUUUGAUAAAUCCAUGUUAGCUAUAUAAACUGCAUUCUUUAUUUAUCUUUUAUUUUGCAUCAUCAUUUGGAAUCAGAUGAACUCUUCUUUUGUCAUUUUUCAUACUUAUCAGCUUUAUAUUUGCUAGUCGCAACUAUUUUUCUUAUCUUCCUCUUGUUUAUAAUUUCAUUUUUUUUUUACAAAAUAUUAGCCUAUUAGCCUUAUUUGUUACAAAGUUUGUUGUGUUAUCGAUAGUGUUCCAAAUUAUGGAACAAACUAUAAUACAUCUUCUUGUGAAGAGAAGUAACCGAUAUCGAAUAUUAUUCUUAUAAACUAAUACGUUUUCUUUUACAUUUGGUUUGUUAAUCUCAACUUUAAAAAACAUAUUUCAUUACUGUUAGUUUUGAUCAUCCAACCAAUUAAUCUCUUUUACUCUUCACAACAUGACUUGCUUUUGUUAUAAAAGGAAAACAUUUGCAAGUUAAAUAGUUUUAAAAACGGUUUAUUAUAUAUGUGUGGGUGGAUUGAUCACUUUUCAAUGAACGCCAACACAUCGGCCACGUUUUAGUUUUUAACAAUGUUUUUAAAACUAGACUGGAAACUGAACCAGAUAAUUAUGUGAGUCACGAUUCAAUAUUUUUCGACUGAGUCAAACUUGAUUCAAUAAUAUGGUUCAAUAUUUUAAAUUAAAGAAAUUUAAAAGUAAAGACAGUAUCUAUCCUAUACUAAAAGCACGAUAUAGAGUGAUUUUACAGUGUCCACGUCGACAAAUUUAUUCAGCCAAUCAAAACAUUUCAAUAAUACACGUAUGAUCUCCUAAACUGUUGCUUUUGUAUGGGCUUCAAUGUGGUUUUACUGGGCUUCGUCGGUUUCAAUUUACCGAUACAAUUAGAAAAAAAAAACCCGAGACGGAUAACACGAUGCUCUCUCCUCUAUCGCUUCGUCUUCACCGUUUCCUCUCCAUCCUUUCAGUUUUCUCGAUCCUCAUAUUAUAAAUAUUCGGCUUUAAGGAAUUCGGAGAAGGAAAGAAGGAGACCAUAUUGACAGACAUGCAUUUGAAGAUCUUCACAACCACAUCAAGAGCUCGGCGGUGAUCGUGACGGAGCCCGAUUUCAACGCCAAGAUCUGCCACUUCUCUGCCACUUCGGCACCGUGCAGCUCUGCGGGGAAACAGACGGAUCGAGAGAUUCCAAAGCCGUUAGAUUCGAAGGAGUGAAAGGAUACAUGUCGCCGGAUUUUCAGGCUUCGGGGGUUGCGACUCAGGAAUCAGACGUGUUCGCCUUCGGAGUCAUGAUGCUUGAGCUUCUCUCCGGCGAGGAGCCGUUGAAGUAUACGUAUGAGAAAACUGUCGGGGAUUUUGAACGGACUUUGGUGAUUGAAACCGCGAAAGCGGUGGUUGACGGCGGAGAUGGUGGUGACAUAGGGGGCGGUUGAGGAGGUGGAUGGAUCGGAGGUUGGGGGAUUCGUUUCCGGUGACGGUGGUGGAGAAGUUAAUGCGGUUGGCGUUGGAGUGCGUCGAGGAUGAGGCGGUGAACCGGCUGGAGAUGGGAAGAGUCGCCGGAAAGAUAUCGCAAUUGUAUUUGGAAUCGGAGAAAUGGUUGGCGAAUAUGAAGACUUCCUUUCCAGGUUUCAGAAGUCUCAUUUCUUUGUUAGGAUCGCAGAGUCUGGUGAGCCGCUUUGGUCAAAGAAACCUCUGUGUUGGGAGAUACAAAGCUAGAGGAAAAGCGGGAAAAAGAGACCUUGUGUUAGUGCUUUUUUAGAUAGAGGAGAGUUUGAUCUUAAUGUUGCUGGAGGUGCAGCAAGAAGUAAGGCAAAAUGUUGUGCCUUACCCAAUGGAGACACAUGAUGGUAAUUCUUAUAAGUUGUUGUUUUAACCUACUGAUUCUCACACAAUGUCUUUAUUUGGAAGGGUGAAGGUCUCUUUACAAGUUUAUAUCGCUGACUGUCCCAAAGAACCAAUCAUUGAGAUACUGCAGUUUGAGAAGCAUCAAGACAUGGACCAACUUUCUGAUCAUGAACACAAUGAUCCAUAUGGGAACCUUUUGAAGUGGUUGAUACCGUUGGAUAACACUAUUUCUCAGCAACCCCGUUACCUCCUAUAAGCUCUACCCCAGAUAUCAGCAGCAGUGCACACAAGCCAUUACUCUCUUCUGGCUCAGGAUCUCAGCUCUUCUCAUUCGUCCAUUUUAGAAGCUACUCCAUGUUAGCUCUGCCGGCGCCGUGUUUAUAGUUUCUGUACGUAUGUGUUUGUGGAAGCAGUGCACACAAGCCAUUACUCUCUUCUGGCUCAGGAUCUCAGCUCUUCUCAUUCGUCCAUUUUAGAAGCUACUCCAUGUUAGCUCUGCCGGCGCCGAACACUGCACCAGUUACUGGACCCGUAAAAACUGAAAGCUCCAAACCAUCAUUUGACCUUGAAGACUGGAACUGUUACUCAGGUCAAACAUUAUGGAACGGUCACAAGUCUGGGACUGAAGAGCUCUUAUCUUUCCGGGGUGUCCCUUUGGAGCGGGAUAAAUUCUCUGUUCGUUGUGGACGUGAAGGCAUAUGCAUUCCUGGUAAGAAGAUGGAGGAAGAAACUCGAAAUCAUUCAACCUAUUGAUAUCAAUUCUUUUACAGCUGAUUGUAAUACAGAUAAACAUUUAAUAUAAAUAGUUUUAAAUUUUUAUAAUAAAUUCUAAUGUAUAUAUGUAACAUGGUCAUAUUUAAUAUAAUAUGGGUAUAUUUUGUUAACU